AGCUGCUCUUUGUGUGACGCAUUUCCUCACCCAGCCGCAGAUUGCAACAGAGGAGAUGAGAUAAAGAUGAGGAACCUCAACAGAAAGGAUGGAUGUAAACAGUGGGUUUGCUGUGCAGUGACAAGAGCCCAGCUUGGGAAGGGUGUUGAGUGGGGUGAAGAUGUCACAGGAACUCACGAAAGCCAGAGGAGUUCACAGUUCAGAGAAGGUCACCUUUAUUGAACUGUUUUCCUGUUGGCCAUCCCUUCUGGGCCCCAAGUUCUGCAUUUGCAGCAUCUGGCACAGUGCUGGGCACAUCCUGAGCUUGAGAAAAGGAACCUGGGCAGGAGGAGAUAAGCCAAUAUAUCUGCCUGUUGAGCCUACAGUUAAAAAUAAUUAUAGAGAACAUGGUGAUGCUUCAGAAACUGUCAGGAUCUUUACUCUUUGUCCAGGAAGCCCUGAACUGUCAUUGGAAAUAAGGUGCCAGAACCACAGAUGUCCUUAGGCAGAUGAAGCUGAGUGGAUACUUGGACCUGUAAAGAAGGAAAAGCUGAAUCUGCUCUGGGGUUUCCACAUGACAAGUUCCCCCUACCUUUCUCUGCUGGGUCAGCUUCAUGGUGGCUGUGAAGACCCUGACCCAAGUCUGAGGUAGCUAGAGUCCAGGCAGUGCUGGAAGUCAACAUCAGCAUGGCCCUGGGGUUGCAAGAUGUGCCAAGGACCAACUUGGGGCCUAAGAGUACCAUGAAGAUGCUUGUUGCUCGUAUAAGAGACCUCAAGCUUACUAAAGAUGGGAGUGUGCUGCUUCCUGAAAGGCAAAUUCAACACCGACAAGCCUCCUCAAUAGCCAAAAUAGCAACAGCUCGGGAUGAUAUAACUGUUGAUGGUACUACUUCUAAUGUCCUAAUCAUUGGAGAGCUCCUGAAAUAGGCAGAUCCCUGAAUUUCCGAAGGUCUUCAUCCAAGAAUAAUAACAGAAGGAUGUGAAACUGCCAAGGAAAAGACACUUCGGUUUUUGGAACAAGUCAAAGUAAGCAAAGAGGUGAACAGGGAAACACUUACAGAUGUGGCUGGAACAUCUCUCCACAGUAAAGUUCAUGAUGAACUUGCUGAUGUCCUAGAGGCUGUAACAGAUACCUUUUUGGCCAUUAAAAAACAAGAACGUAUUGACCUCUUCAUAGUUGAGAUCAGGGAGAUAAAACAUAAAUCUGAUACCAAUACAUGUUUAAUCAUAGGUCUUGUUUUGGAUCAUGGGGCAUGGGAUCCUGAUGUGAAAAAGGGAGUGGAAGAUGCAUACACCCUCACAUACACAUGUCAUUAGCAUAUGAAAAAGCAAAAGUGAACUCUGGCUUCUCUCUCUCUCUCUUUUUUAUAGGAGUUCAGAAGAGAGAGAGAAACUGGGGAAAGCAGAGAGAAAAUUCAUUGAAAAUUGGGUCCU
rnacentral:lncRNA from 1 species